rnacentral:lncRNA from 1 species
CCAAAGGCUCAGCUUCGAUCUAUUUUGUAAAAUAGUCGAUGGCCACUAAGAGAAAUUUGCACUGACUUGAUGUGAGAGAAAAAGACCAAGGAUGUCCAUCCUCCACUGAGCAAAUGACCAUGGGGUGCUGAUGGGAGUUAGAAGUAUUGCCGACUGAUGCUGAAUGUUGAAAAUUCUUUGGUAUCGAUCGCACUUUCUGACGAAGUUGCCUGCAUCUUGCUGUAUAGUGGGCUAGUAGUAGCCUUGCCAAAUUAGUUUAUAAGAGAGGGAUCAACCCCCAAGUGGCUUUCGCAGAUUCCUUCGUAGACCUCCUGUAUUGCAUAAUCAACUUCAAAAAGACAUAAACACUUCAAAAGAGGCAGAGAGAAUGAUCAAUUGUACAUUUUAUCAUCGUACAGAACAUAACGAGCAUACUGCUUCUUUAUCUUUUGAACUUCUCUGUGAUCAGACAGUAACUCAUUUUACCUUAAAUAUCUGAGCAGAGGAUCGAUCUAACAGAGUUCUUCAUCAACUUGUUGGACAACAAGAGGCUCUUUGAGGCUCGAGAUCUUUAACACCUAGAAGUAGGUCUCCUUUUCUAAGUCGACGGGCAGUAAAGUUGCAAGCUUCGAUAGUGCAUUUGCCUUGGCAUUUUCUGCUCUAGGGACCUGUUGAAUAUCAAAACUCGAAAAGGUUA